GGAGGUGUAAAUGUACAGGGUGGAGAGGGUGGAGGUGUUAGUGUACAGGGUGGAGAGGGUGGAGGUGUAAAUGUACAGGGUGGAGAGGCUGGAGGUGUAAAUGUACAGGGUGGAGAGGCUGGAGGUGUAAAUGUACAGGAUGGAGAGGCUGGAGGUGUAAAUGUACAGGGUGGAGAGGGUGGAGGUGUUAGUGUACAGGGUGGAGAGGGUGGAGGUGUAAAUGUACAGGGUGGAGAGGCUGGAGGUGUAAAUGUACAGGGUGGAGAGGCUGGAGGUGUAAAUGUACAGGAUGGAGAGGCUGGAGGUGUAAAUGUACAGGGUGGAGAGGGUGGAGGUGUUAGUGUACAGGGUGGAGAGGCUGGAGGUGUAAAUGUACAGGGUGGAGAGGGUGGAGGUGUUAGUGUACAGGGUGGAGAGGCUGGAGGUGUAAAUGUACAGGGUGGAGAGGGUGGAGGUGUUAGUGUACAGGGUGGAGAGGCUGGAGGUGUAAAUGUACAGGGUGGAGAGGGUGGAGGUGUUAGUGUACAGGGUGGAGAGGGUGGAGGUGUUAGUGUACAGGGUGGAGAGGGUGGAGGUGUAAAUGUACAGGGUGGAGAGGCUGGAGGUGUAAAUGUACAGGGUGGAAAGGGUGGAGCCUAAUCAUUUUGAUUGACAAUGGAAUAAACAAGUUCUUGUACCUGUUAUACCUGCAUCGUGGUACUCUGUACCUUCUUCCCAAAUGCAAUAACUCAUAUUCAGGAUUCAGUGCAUGGUCAUGAUCAGACACGAUUUUACGAGCUUGUCUUAUCACUGACUAUUCAAAAAUGACUUGAGGAAUGAUCAGGAGUGUGGACAUACCCAUUAUCUUCCCUGCCACAUUAAUCAACCUAGCCUGGUUUCCAAACCAGCUAGACAUACCAUAUCUUAACACAGACAGAAUACUAGCAUUGUAAAAAAUCAUCAUUAUGUUCCUAUUGACCCCAAACAGUCUUAAUCUCCGUAGGAAGUGCAGGCACUGAUGUAUCUUUGCACAGACAUUUUGCACAUGUGAGUGCCAGCUCAUAUCCCCAUCAACCUGUACUCCCAGAUAUUUAUAGGAGACGACUUGCUGAAUUGUUUGGUUAUGUAUAGAGUGGAGUGGAGGUGUAUAGGUGGAGAGGGUGGAGUUGGUGAAGGUGUGUACAGGGUGCAGAGGGUGUAGAGGUUGGAGGUGUUAGUGUACAGAGUGGAGAGGUUGGAAGUGUUGGUGUGCAGGAUGGAAAUGGUGGAGGUGUUACUGUGCAGGGUGGAGAGGGCAUAGAGGGUGGAGGUGUUCCUCCAUCUCCUCCUUUAGCUUAAACAGAUUCUGACCAGUGUGACCAUCUGGACUAGUCUGAUCAGGACCAAUCUGAUUAGGACCAGUCUGACCAUAAGGACCAGUCUGACCAUCAGGACCAGUCUGAUCAGGUCUAGUCUGACCAUCAGGACCAGUCUGACCAUCAGGACCGGUCUGAUCAGGACCAAUCUGACCAUCAAGACCAGUCUGACCAUCAGGACCAGUCUGACCAUCAGGACCAGUCUGAUCAGGUCUAGUCUGACCAUAAGGACCAGUCUGAUCAGGACCAAUCUGACCAUCAGGACCGGUCUGACAAUCAGGACCAGUCUGACCAUCAGGACCAGCCUGAUCAGGACCAAUCUGACCAUCAGGACCAGUCUGACCAUCAGGACUAGUCUGACCAUCGAGACCAG